GAUGAAGAACGUAGCGAAAUGCGAUACGUAAUGUGAAUUGCAGAAUUCAGUGAAUCAUCGAAUCUUUGAACGCAUAUUGCGCUCUCUGGUAUUCCGGAGAGCAUGCUUGUUUGAGUAUCAGUAAACACCUCAACUCCCUUUUCUUUUUUGAAAUUGGAGCUGGACUUGAGUGAUCCCAACGCUUUCUUCCAAGAAAGUGGCGGGCUGCUUGAAAUGCAGGUGCAGCUGAACUUUUCUCUGAGCUAUAAGCAUAUCUAUUUAGUCUGCCUAAAAAACAGAUUAUUACCUUUGCUGCAGCUAACAUAAAGGAGACUAGUUCUUGUGCUGACUGAUGCAGGAUUCACAGAGACAGCUUCGGCUGACUUUGUAAACUCGAUCUCAAAUCAAGUAAGACUACCCGCUGAACUUAAGCAUAUCAAUAAGCGGAGGA
rnacentral:misc_RNA from 1 species